UACGUAGGUGGCAAGCGUUGUCCGGAUUUACUGGGCGUAAAGAGCGCGCAGGCGGUCGUUCAAGUCGAGUGUGAAAGCCCCCGGCUCAACUGGGGAGGGUCACUCGAUACUGAUCGACUCGAAGGCAGAAGAGGGAAGCGGAAUUCCCGGUGUAGUGGUGAAAUGCGCAGAUAUCGGGAGGAACACCUAUGGCGAAGGCAGCUCGCUGGGACGUUACUGACGCUGAGACGCGAAAGCGUGGGGAGCAAACAGG
rnacentral:rRNA from 1 species